GACGAACGCUGGCGGCGUGCCUAAUACAUGCAAGUCGAGCGGACGGAUGGGAGCUUGCUCCCAGACCGUCAGCGGCGGACGGGUGAGUAACACGUGGGCAACCUGCCUGUAAGACUGGGAUAACUCCGGGAAACCGGGGCUAAUACCGGAUAACUCUUUCCCUCACAUGAGGGAAAGCUGAAAGAUGGCAUCUCGCUAUCACUUACAGAUGGGCCCGCGGCGCAUUAGCUAGUUGGUGAGGUAACGGCUCACCAAGGCGACGAUGCGUAGCCGACCUGAGAGGGUGAUCGGCCACACUGGGACUGAGACACGGCCCAGACUCCUACGGGAGGCGGCAGUAGGGAAUCUUCCGCAAUGGACGAAAGUCUGACGGAGCAACGCCGCGUGAGUGAUGAAGGUUUUCGGAUCGUAAAACUCUGUUGUCAGGGAAGAACAAGUACCGGAGUAACUGCCGGUACCUUGACGGUACCUGACCAGAAAGCCACGGCUAACUACGUG
rnacentral:rRNA from 1 species